AUUGAACGCUGGCGGCAGGCCUAACACAUGCAAGUCGAACGAGUGGCGGACGGGAGAGGAAUGGCUGGGAAACUGCCCGAUGGAGGGGGAUAACUACUGGAAACAGUAGCGAACACCGAAGACCAUCGGAUGUGCCCAGAUGGGAUUAGCUAGUAGGUGGGGUAACGGCUCACCUAGGCGACGAGCCCUAGCUGGUCUGAGAGGAUGACCAGCCACACUGGAACUGAGACACGGUCCAGACUCCUACGGGAGGCAGCAGUGGGGAAUAUUGCACAAUGGGCGCAAGCCUGAUGCAGCCAUGCCGAGUGUAUGAAGAAGGCCUUCGGGUUGUAAAGUACUUUCAGCGAGGAGGCGUUACUCGCAGAACCCGCACCUGCUAACUCCGUGCCAGCAGCCCCGGUCCUUC
rnacentral:rRNA from 1 species